UUUUUGUUUGUAAAGACCUAAUGAAGCCAUGCUUAAUGGCGCCCAACAUAACAUGGAGUGGAUGCUUAGCAAUGCGAUCAGAUUUUUAAUGUGACCGUUGAUGCCUGGCUAGGCCACCAGAAUGUUUGAGAGCCAGGGCCUUUCCCUCCCCAUGGGGGAGUCUCUGGGUUUGUGUAGCCUUACCUUCCUUAUACCUGGAUGGGAAAGUAUUGCUCUUGACUCCCUCUCCAUUGACCCGGUAAGCCCUUGGCUCCAAAAUUUGCCCACAUCCUGGUGAAGGACUGUUUAGCAGCCUACUAGGUAGCUGGCUCUUAAUACUCUUGGGCUGCUGUUGCCCAUACUGCACAUGUGGUGUCUGGCUGCAGUGCCCUUCUACACACCUGACCCUAGGGCCCUUACAGAAGAGAGGUGCAUUAAGAUGAUCAGGGUUGUGCAGGGUGUGUAGAGGUGGAAGGUGUGCUCAGGCCCCCCGGGAUGGUCAUUCCUCUCUGCAUCCCUGGCUUGACAAGUGCCUCUUUCACCUCCAUCCUACUCACUUGACUGACCUUCCUACGUGCUUGACCCAGCUAAUAAUUGUUCUAACUUUAUCUGCCAUGGUAGGUUAGUAAAGAGAUGGUGAGAGAUGUGGCUCUCACUGGUUUCCCUGGUAACUGAUGAGCCAACCUGAUGUCAAUUCCCCUUAAAAUGGGCAAUUUCCCCCUCUCCCUGGGAGUGAAGAUGCCACUGCAUCCUGCCCAUGGUGUGGGCCACAGACAGUGUGGUGUUGCUCCAGGACCUUGCUUCAGACAUGCAAGCUCCCUCAUCCAUUAAAACACUGAAAUGACUCUGUCUCUGUCUUUCUUGGGUCUUGAUGCUGGGCUGGUACAGACCUUACAGGCCUGCAGGGUGCAAGCCCACAGACAGUAAAUUGGAAAAAUUUUAGACUAUGUCCCAGAGUAGAAAAUAGAUUUUUUGUGUGUAAUGUGUGUAUCCUAUACGUAUGUAUAUACUGAGAUUGUGUUUAUGUGUGUAUGUAUAUAUCCAUAUCUGUACAUAAUGUCUUUCUACCUGUUUAUAUUUCUCUCAGAAAGAAAAGGGAAUAAUGACUGUUCUUACCACCUGGACCACCUUCAUUCUAUUCCAAAAGACAGUGCUCACAAUCCAUUUAAGUAGAUUUCAUGAUCAACCAGUGGGCUAAGUCCUGACAUUUGGGAAUGACUGGUGUGGCCCAGCUCCCACCUUGAACCAGAGGAGGCCAAACCUGCUUCAACAUCACAUAUUGCUUCUUCACAAAUCUGAGAUGAGGAUCCAGCUUUACUGAGAGCCAGCCUGCUCUCUCUCGCCAUCGCCUGUCCCAGUGCUUUUGUGCCUCUCUGGUCAAUGUUCUUUUCUGCCCCUCUGAGAACCAGAUCACAGAUGUUGAAACAGUCCUGAGGAUUUCGGGGAUGGUCGAUCUCGGUGGUAUUAGGAAAGAGAACUCCUUGAUCUGGGUCUACAACUCCUCACUCACCCCUCACUCACAAUUCCAAAAUCUCCAAAGCUCUGAAAAGUCGGGGUUUCCAUAAUUCACAUGGAGGCAAACCUGCCCUGAACCGAUGUAGGGCUGGUAAUGGUCCUUGUUCAUCCCAAUUCAGUCUGGAGAGCCACAUGUCUCCCUGCAGAAAUGGGAGCAUGUGGGCCACAGGUACACCUGGUUAAUUUUCUAAAACCUGAAAUAGUCAGAAUUGUAAAACAUAUCGGGCCUUGGGUUUGGGUAAGGGAUGGUGGACCUGUAGAUGUAUUCAGUGUGUGUGAGUGUUACUGAUUAAUCAGUAAAUGUUAAUGGAAAGGAAGUGGUAGAUGAUUGAAAGUGCAGAGGCCCAGUUAUCAGAAAGCUGCCUGUUAAUAGCUGUGCAGUGAAUGUCGGAGGGUUUUGUGGGGGUGAAGAGUGACGGCUCUCAAAGCGCUUGGGAAACUAGACUGGUCUAUAACAUACUGUAUAAGAUGUUUGGUGUGGUCUGGGUUCUUCAGGAAACUGAAUUGUAAUCUCCAACCAGGCACUUAUUUCCAGCUUUAACAAAGGCUCACAUUAUAUGUGUGUGUUUGUGUAGGCUAAAAGCCUUUAUUUUGCUGUGCCACAGAUGAGGAUUAACCAAACAAAAAGACAAAGGAAUGUCUUUGCAUUUGUUGUAGAUUCUUCUCAUAUUUACUCUGCGCUGUUUUACUACUUCCUUUGUUCUUCCCUCUCGAUAAUAUUCAGAGGCCCAUUAAUAGAAACUGCUGACUACAGACUGGAAUGCACUUGACUUCCUUACUAUUAGUCUUGUAGGUCAAUAAAACCUCACUGCUACUGCCUUUUUUUUUUUCUUUGCCAGGAAAGGCUUCAAAACUUCUAAGUUUGGGGAGUUCCCACUGUUGCACAGUAAGUUAAGACUGACUACAGCAGCUCUGGUCACUGCAGAAGUAUGGGUGUGAUCCCCAGUGCAGUGGGUUAAACAGUCUGUCAUUACCACAACUGCAGCAUGGGUUGCAGUUGCUGCUCAGAUUCAAUCCCAGGCAGGAAACUUCCAUGUGUCAUGGGUACAGCAAACCGCCCCCCCCCCAAAAAAAAAACAACUUUAAAGCUUCUGCCUUAGAGGGUCCCAGUAACUCUGGGCUCCUGAGACCAGAGGAUGUUGUAUCCAGUGUUCAGUUAGCCACAGGAAGGGGCACAGAUGCAGGCUCUGAGAAGUACUUGGAUAUGUCUAAAAGAAGUCAGGCUGAGCAUGCAUCAGACUUUGAGCCAGGAUUGAAAGUGUGGCCUUUAUGAUGGCCCAGGAGAUCAAACUUAGGGCUCUUGCCAGGUGGGAAGUUAGAACUAAGACUCCUGCAUGAAACCAGCCCCUCUGGAGGGAGGGGGGUUCAUCCUCAGGAGCAGGUAGUCAGCUAACACCUGUGGAGGACAAAGGGCAUGGACACGGGGACUUAUUUUCUGGGUUGCUGGUGGUAGGAUGAAAAGUCUUCCUGUGAGAAUUUGUAAUCAUAAGUCUCGCUCCAUCCAGUUCAGGUUUGAAUUGGUACUACAUGUGUGGACCAGGAAACCCCAAGCUGCCAAAUUCACCUGAUAUAAUUUGGGUUUGUUAGCCCCCCCAUCGUAGUUGUCAAAACCAAGUGAGAAUGAUCUCUGGAGGGCUAUAUUCAUAGCUCAAGCACUGAAAGAUUCCUGUAAGUAAAACCCAGACAUUCCCACACAAGUUUUUACCCGUAGUUACAGAACAGAUGAAGCAAGUCACCAUGAAUGAAGGUCAGCAGAAACAACAAAUAGAAGAAUCAAACCCCAGGGUUUCAGAUAUAAGACAAAUUGGGUGUAUAAUGUCUUUAGAAUGUUAAUAAAGUAAAACAAAUUGUUAAAAAAAAUGAGCAAGAAACACUAGUUUAUAAACUGUAUAGAUAUUUGGAGUUCUCAUUGUGGCUCAGAGGUCAUGAACCCGACUAGAAUCCAUGAGGAUGUGGGUUUGAUCCUUGGCCUUGCUCAGUGGGUUAAGGAUCUGGUAUUGCUGUGAACUGUGGUGUAGGUCACAGAACACAGCUUGGAUCUGGCAUUGCUGUGGCUCCCAAUUCGACCCCUAGCCAGGGAACUUCCAUGUGCCAUAGCUGUGGCCCUGAAAAGCAGCGUGCAAAACAAAAAUAAAAAAAAAAAA
rnacentral:lncRNA from 1 species